CACGAAGUUAGCCGGGGCUUCUUCUACGGGUACCGUCAUCAUCGUCCCCGUCGAAAGGGCUUUACGAUCCGAAGACCUUCUUCACCCACGCGGCAUUGCUGGAUCAGGCUUGCGCCCAUUGUCCAAUAUUCCCCACUGCUGCCUCCCGUAGGAGUCUGGGCCGUGCCUCAGUCCCAGUGUGGCUGGUCGUCCUCUCAGACCAGCUACCGAUCGACGCCUUGGUAAGCCAUUACCCCACCAACAAGCUAAUCGGACGCAGGCCACUCCAAAGGCGCAUCACUGCUUUGAGCCUCAGCUCACAUGCGGUAUUAGCGCCAGUUUCCCAGCCGUUAUCCCCCGACCCCUGGACAUGUUCCUACGCGUUACUCACCCGUCCGCCACUGAUGGCCGAAACCACCCGUGCGACUUGCAUGUGUUAAGCAUGCCGCCAGCGUUCGCUUUGAGCCAGGAUCAAACUC
rnacentral:rRNA from 1 species